GUUGAACGCUGGCGGCGUGCCUAACACAUGCAAGUCGAACGCAGUUGCGAACGGGUGAGUAACGUGUAGGUAAUUGCCUCAUGGCGGGGGAUCACUAUUGGAAACGAUAGCCAAUACCGCACCCCGUGGCAUGGACCUGCGUUGGAUUAGCUAGUUGGCGGGGUAAAGGCUCACCAAGGCGACGAUACAUAGCAGGGCUGAGAGGGUGAUCAGCCCAACUGGAACUGAGACACGGCCCAGACUCCUACGGGAGGCAGCAGUGGGGAAGAUUGGACAAUGGGCGGAAGUCUGACCAAGCAAUGCCGCGUGAGUGAAGAAGGUUUUCGGAUCGUAAAGCUCUGUUGUUUGGGAGGCGUUAUCAACAGAAUAAGCACCGGCUAACUACGUGCCAGCCGCCGCGGUAAUAC
rnacentral:rRNA from 1 species